rnacentral:rRNA from 1 species
UACGUAGGGUGCGAGCGUUAUCCGGAUUUAUUGGGUUUAAAGGGUGCGUAGGCGGCCUAUUAAGUCAGGGGUGAAAGACGGUAGCUUAACUAUCGCAGUGCCUUUGAUACUGAUGGGCUUGAAUGGACUAGAGGUAGGCGGAAUGUGACAAGUAGCGGUGAAAUGCAUAGAUAUGUCACAGAACACCAAUUGCGAAGGCAGCUUACUAUGGUUUAAUUGACGCUGAGGCACGAAAGCGUGGGGAUCAAACAGG